rnacentral:miRNA from 14 species
UCUCCUUCGAGCCCCAGCAAUGCAUGUCAGCAGUAAUUUUAUGUGCAGAGAGAGAGGAGGUUUUUUUUUUUUUUUUUUAUGGAGCAGCAGCAGCAGCAGCAGCAGCAGCAGCAGCAGCAGCAGCAGCAGCAGCAGCAGCAGCAGCAGCAGCAGCGA